ACACACGUUCACCCCUCCUCCCUUUGUCAUUUGACCUCUCCAAGCCUUAUCCCUUAAGCUUAGACCUUAGCCUGUGGAGCUGGGCAGUCACGGUGAAGUUGGAGGAAGACUUUGGAGUUUCUUUUGCAGUAGAUAAGUAGAUCUAGCUUCCAUGUUUUCCUACUUUUGUUUGAUGCAUGCUAUUUAGAUCAUCAAAGUGUGAAGUCCAAGCAUGAAUAUGGAUGUGAUGGUAAAUAUGUAUGUGAAUGUAUGAGAUUGAGAUAUGACGGGAUUAUGCUAUGUAUUUUACAGAAUUGUGACUCGUAUUCAUGUGAUAAGUAGAGUAUUGAAAAUAUCUAUGAUGGUUAUGAAAUUUGGUGGGAAAGAACCCAUGUGAAUCUAUUUUAAGAUAGAAAAGACCUUGUUUUAAUAUCUAUUUUAGUUUGGAUGUUAUUAGUCAUUUUCUAAAGUAUGCCAAAAUUGUGAAAUAGAAUUUCAGAUAUUUUAUAUAUUUUUGUGUGGGGCUUUUCACUAACCAAAAUAUAUCAUAAUGAGCUCAAACUACUUCUGAAUGAAAGAUUUAUGAGUCUAUUUUAAAAAAUAGUUUUUGGAAGCAGAUUAAAAUUCAAUGUAUUUUGAAAGUUAUGCCCAACUUUUAUAAGUAUGCCAUACUGUGUUUUCUGUUGUAAAGACUAGAGCUUUCCAGAACAGUUACGCAUUUUGUGUGGAACUGUUAACUGACCAAAAUAUAUCAGAAUGAGCUCAAACCAUUGUUAAAUAAAAGAUUUAUGAGUCUAUUUUAAAAAUGGUUUAAAAACAUAUUAAAAUUCAAUGUAUUUUGAAAUUUAUGCCCAAUUUCUAUGAGUAUAUCACACUGUAUUUUCUGCUACAAAGACAGGAACUUUAUCCAAAGAACACCAACCAGUUUGAUGAGCUUUAAGCCAAAUUUUGGGGUUUCGCUCUUCACGAAAUUUGUGUUUUUAUGAGCCAAGUUUGUCAUAAAAGUGAUCAUAGGUCCAAAUGGAUUUUGAAUCUCUCAAUACGUCUUUAGAAGUAGACUAUGCGCACUAUGAAAAACCAAAAAAUUGUAUGAUGAUGUCUUUUGAGUUAAUGGGCCUGGGGGUAUGAUUUCAUGUAUGAAUUGCUGAUGUUUUAUAUAAGCCUCAAAAGUGUUGCUAAUGAUAAAUGAGUGCAUGAUAUGCCCUAUUAUGAUAUGAAUGUACGUAGUAGGACAUGCCCUAUUCUGAUAUGAACGCAUGAUAAAGAGUUAUGCUUUGCUAUGAUAUGGAAGCAUGAUUAUUAUGUAUGCUUGUUGUGAUAUGAAUGCAUGAUUUUGAGACAUGCUCGGUGAUGUGUGUGCAUGACUUUGAGACAUGCUCAAUUAUAUGUGUACAUGAUUCUAACGCAAGUGCCAUGUGAUAUGUCUUAUAUGAUUGGGUACCUACUAUGUAAAUGAUAGUAUUGUGCAGCUUAUGUGUUACGUGAAUGGAUACCUACUGUGUGAAUGAUAGUACUGUGUUGCUUACGUAUUAUGCGAAUGGGUACCUACUGUGUGAAUGAUGGUAUCUUGCAACUUAUGUGUUUUGUGAAUAGGUACCUACUGUGUGAAUGAUGGUACCAUGCUUCUUAUGGGUUAUGUGAAUGGGUACCUACUGUGUGAAUGAUGGUACCGUGUAGCUUGUGUUAUGUAAAUGGGUACCUACUGUGUGAAUGAUGAUACUGUGCUACUUAUGUGUUAUAUGCAUGGGUACCUACUGUGUGAAUGAUGGUACCGUACAGCUUAUGUGUUAUGUGAAUGGGUAUCUACUGUGUGAAUGAUGGUACUAUGCUGCUUAUGUGUUUGUGAAUGGGUACCUAUUGUGUGAAUGAUGGUACCGUGUAGCUUACGUGUUAAGUGAAUGGGUACCUACUGUGUGAAUGAUGGUACCAUGUUGCUUAUGUGUUAUGUGAAUGAGCACCUACUGUGUAAAUGAUGAUGCUGACAGCCAAGAUAUUUCCCUAACUCCCCAUGAUAGGACGAGGGUCAAGAAGUGAAUGUGAAUAUUUGGGAGUGUCGUGGCCCCCCCUAGAUCUAUAUGGGUACUACGCAAUGGGUCACCCUUUUGUAGUUGAAUAUUGUGAUACCUUGACUAUUAUGUGAUUACUUGAGAUGCGAGAUUGACAUGAGAUAUAUGAUUAUCUAAGUUAUGUGACUGAUCUGAGAUAUGUGUUUGGCCUAAUGAAUAGGGCUAGAGAGUGGGUUGUAUCUGUUGAUUUGGUUAUACUCUCUUGUUUGUGUGGAUCUAUUGAAAUUUGAUAGAUUGCUUGUGUAUAUGAUAUCUUACAUCUUAUAUUGUGUCUGCUCUACUAUGACAAGCAUCAUCAUAUAAUUGUGACAUAAUUGUGAUGCAUGACUUAUGUUUUAUCAGCAUGGCUUAGAACCUUGAUUUGUGAUGUGUAAUAAUAUUCAUCGGCAGGGAAGCAUGAUACUGUGAUCUACUUACUGGGCUUUUUAGCUCAUUCAUUUUCUUCCACCCUUGUAGAUUAGCGGCUGCAGGUCGAAUACAGGUGGGCGGUGAUCGUGUUUGGUGGACGGAAGGCCCGCGUUAGACUAGGAGAUCUCCUCAUUUUUUUAGGUGUCAGCUGGCCGUCGGUCGUACUGUACUGUUUGUGAAGCUUUAAAAUUUUGUUAAUAGGCUUUGGUGCCUUGGAUGAAUUGUAACAUUCUGGAUAUUGUAGUUAUGACUUUUGGAGAAAGCAUAUGGAUAUGAAUGGUUUUAAAU
rnacentral:lncRNA from 1 species